rnacentral:rRNA from 1 species
AUUGAACGCUGGCGGCAGGCCUAACACAUGCAAGUCGAACGGGUGGCGGACUGGUGAGUAGUGUCGUGACAACUGCCUGACGGACGGGGCUAACUGGGGGAAACGGUAGCUAAUACCGCAUACCAUCAUAUCGGCCGUCAGGGGAUUAGCUAGUUGGUGGGGUAACGGCUCACCAAGGGGACGAUGCCUAGCAGGGCUAAGAGGCUGACCGGCCACACUGGAACUGAGACACGGUCCAGACUCCUACGGGAGGCAGCAGUGGGGAAUAUUGCACAAUGGGCGCAAGCCUGAUGCAGCCAUGCCGCGUGAAUGAAGAAGGCUUUCGGGUUGUAAAGUACUGUCAUCGGGGAGGCGUUACCCGCAGAAGAAGCACCGGCUAACUACGUGCCAGCAGCCGCGGUAAUUC